rnacentral:rRNA from 1 species
AAAUUGAAGAGUUUGAUCAUGGCUCAGAUUGAACGCUGGCGGCAGGCCUAACACAUGCAAGUCGAACGGUAACAGGAAACAGCUUGCUGUUUCGCUGACGAGUGGCGGACGGGUGAGUAAUGUCUGGGAAACUGCCUGAUGGAGGGGGAUAACUACUGGAAACGGUAGCUAAUACCGCAUAAUGUCGCAAGACCAAAGAGGGGGACCUUCGGGCCUC